rnacentral:tRNA from 1 species
GUUGUGGCUCAGUGGUACAGCACUUGCCUAGCAUGUGUGAGGCACUGGGUUCAAUUCUCAGCACCACA